rnacentral:rRNA from 1 species
AGAUGUCGGGCGCGAGGUGCAGGGGUAGUAUGGAGGGGGUAGGUGGUGGUCGGAUGUAUUGGGCGUAAAGAGCUGGUUGGGGGUGUGUGUGGUGUGUGUUGAAGGCCCACGGCUUAACCGUGGGGCUGCGGUGGAUACGGGCAGACUAGAGGCAGGUAGGGGAGAACGGAAUUCCCGGUGUAGCGGUGAAAUGCGCAGAUAUCGGGAGGAACACCGGUGGCGAAGGCGGUUCUCUGGGCCUGUACUGACGCUGAGGAGCGAAAGCGUGGGGAGCGAACAGGAUUAGAUACCCCAGUAGUC